UCAUCCCAAAAAUCCCUUUGUCUCCCAAACUCUCUCUAACCCUCUCCGAAACCCUAGCCCUAUCAUGCCGGUUUCCACUUUGUUUCACUGGAAUUAAUGGCUUCCCAAGCCCUGGGUGACCUUUACUCACCUCCAUGUGCUCUUGUGCACCUGCUACAUGAAGAUUCAAGGUCCGACUUGAAGGACUUCGCUCAGAUCUACGCCGAUUCGAGAUUCACUGCCAUCUCCAUCUUGACUCCGACAUAUCCUAGACCUAUGAGCCUAUCUCUGACUUAUUCGACUCGGAACAGACCUUUUCCAGGCCUUUUUCGCUUCUAGGGUUUUUUGAAACCCUAGCCUUUCGAGGUUCUCCUAAUUUCUCUAGAUCUGCUCUAGAUCUGUGUUUAUUUUAAGAUUUUGAGACGAUUCAACUAUGUUUCUUUUUAAGACUGUGCUUUCAAAACUGUUCAUCUUCUCUGACUUAUGGUUUCUUUGAUUUUACUUGUUUUACUGUGAUUCCUAUGUGUUACUCUCACUGUAUUUUUCUCUACUCUUUCUCUUAUGUGUUAUUACUAUUAUUCCAUGUGUUUUCUCCUAUUGUGCUUUCUUCUACCGUUUCCUUCUAAUUUCCUUUACUGUAUUUUAUUUUAUGAAUUAUUUUAAGUUCCAUGGGGUUUUCUGAACUUAUUCUUGCCUUAUUUAUUUGGUUUUGU
rnacentral:lncRNA from 1 species